UACGAAGGGGGCGAGCGUUGUUCGGAAUUACUGGGCGUAAAGGGCGCGCAGGCGGCUCUGAAAGUCAGAUGUGAAAGCCCCGGGCUUAACCUGGGAAUUGCAUUUGAUACUCUGGAGCUUGAGUACGGGAGAGGAGAGUGGAAUUCCCAGUGUAGAGGUGAAAUUCGUAGAUAUUGGGAAGAACACCGGUGGCGAAGGCGGCUCUCUGGACCGUAACUGACGCUGAGACGCGAAAGCCAGGGGAGCAAACGGG
rnacentral:rRNA from 1 species